rnacentral:rRNA from 1 species
CGGAUAAGACACAGCGAUUCCAUGUGAACCGGUGAUUCGCGCAGAUAUAUGCAGGAUCGACGGAGGCGACAUACGGCUCUAUGGAGAGUCANUUGACCGUGAGGCUAUGAGAAAGUGGGCAGCAUUCAGGAAUAGAUAAAGUGGUAGUCCAUAUCCGUAUAAGAUGCAUGGUAGAUGCAGGAAACUAUAAGUUCUCAGUAUCGCAGCUGAAGCAAUAAGCAUUCCGAUAGGGGAGUACGACCUCAAGGUUUAAACUCAAAGGAAUUGACGGGGGCCCGCUCAAGAGGUGGAGCAAGUGGUUUAAUUCGAAGCAACGCGAAGAACCUUACCAGGUCUUGACAUACUCGUGCUAUUCCUAGAGAUAGGAAGUUCCUUCGGGACACGGGAUACAGGUGGUGCAUGGUUGUCGUCAGCUCGUGUCGUGAGAUGUUGGGUUAAGUCCCGCAACGAGCGCAACCCCUAUUGUUAGUUGCCAUCAUUAAGUUGGGCACUCUAACGAGACUGCCGGUGAUAAACCGGAGGAAGGUGGGGAUGACGUCAAAUCAUCAUGCCCCUUAUGACCUGGGCUACACACGUGCUACAAUGGAUGGUACAACGAGUCGCGAGACAGUGAUGUUUAGCUAAUCUCUUAAAACCAUUCUCAGUUCGGAUUGUAGGCUGCAACUCGCCUACAUGAAGUCGGAAUCGCUAGUAAUCGCGGAUCAGCACGCCGCGGUGAAUACGUUCCCGGGCCUUGUACACACCGCCCGUCACACCACGGGAGUUGGGAGUACCCGAAGUAGGUUGCCUAACCGCAAGGAGGGCGCUUCCUUAAGGAAG